UCAUUAUACAAAAGGGAAAAAAUGAUAGCACUCCUCUAAAUGAGAAUUUCAGAGGCCUUGGCCUACCACACACAAAUACUUAAAGCAAUGCCACAUACUCUGUGUAAUCAAACUAUAGCUUUUU
ensembl:snRNA